GCGCUCAUCUCUGGUCUUUUUCGUAUUUUUUCCAGCAUUAAUUUCUCAUGUUCUUAUUUUGCAAUGCCUUAGCUGUUAUUAUAUUAAAGUAUUAUUUAUCUACAUAUGAGUAUUACUGUAAAUGUGUGCCAUUCGAAAGAAGUAUGUGCUCAUAUGUAAACAAGACCUGACAACAACAAUUUAAACUCCAUGGACCCAACUCCAAACACUCAGGAGGAACCAAACUGGUCAAAUGAUGAAACAGUGCGUUUGGUUAACAUCAUGGCAUAAAAACAAUGUAUAGUAAAGGGACGGUUUCACGCUUCCCUGACCCAUGCAGAUAAGAAACCUGCAUGGGAAGACCUUAUGAACUGUAAAUGCAUGCCUGCAAUUUACAUGUGAAAAGAACUGAAGAACAAGUUGUAAACUUGUCAAGUGCUGUCCCACUCACGGAAGAAGAUUGCCAAUAUCAACAAAGAGCAGAAUCAAUCAGAACGACUGUACGAGCUCCGCAAGACAAGCCUGGCCCAGGUGAUCUGCAACGACAGUGAACGCAAGCUACGGUACGUCCAGCCCAAAGUAAUGCUGGAGGCCGACUCUUUCCUCAGAUGAAAAAGGAGCCACUGAGGUGCUGGUCCUUAACCACAAAUUAAAAUAACAAGAAGAAGCAUCGGCCAAGAAGAGAUUACGCGUGGAAAGAGGAAGGAUUGGGGCUCGGCUCACGGCAACAGCACCCGUGUGUGCGUUCUUGGGCCGUUCCGGAUCUGUGGACUUCCGGCGAGCAAAUCCCUUCUUUUAAAGCUGGGUGUUGACUGACCUCUGACAACCUGACUGGUGGUGAGUCCAUUCCAGACUAUUCCAGUCACCCAGCACUCUUUCUGACAACCAAUUCCUC